UACGGAGGUUGCAAGCGUUAUUCGGAUUUACUGGGCGUAAAGCGCGCGCAGGCGGUAUUGUAAGUCGGAUGUGAAAGCCCUGGGCUUAACCCAGGAAGUGCAUUCGAUACUGCAUUACUUGAGUAUGGGAGAGGGAAGUGGAAUUCCUGGUGUAGAGGUGAAAUUCGUAGAUAUCAGGAGGAACAUCGGUGGCGAAGGCGGCUUCCUGGACCAAUACUGACGCUGAGGCGCGAAGGCGUGGGGAGCAAACAGG
rnacentral:rRNA from 1 species